GGAUACCUGGUGUAUGCGCCAGACAUGUUGUCCUCGAGCCGAUAAUGUUAAACCAGGAAGUUCCUCGUUGCUGUUGGUGUGCAAGUCCGGCAUUGCCGGGAAGCCUUUUUCAGUGCAGGAACCUCCGCCCUGAACCGUCGGGUUCAAGGGCUACUUUGUCAGCGGUAUACCGGGAAUCCA
rnacentral:other from 1 species